GCCUACGGGGCGCAGCAGUGAGGAAUAUUGGUCAAUGGGCGCGAGCCUGAACCAGCCAAGUCGCGUGAGGGAAGACGGUCCUAUGGAUUGUAAACCUCUUUUGUCGGGGAGCAAAAGACGCCACGCGUGGCGUUCCGAGAGUACCCGAAGAAAAAGCAUCGGCUAACUCCGUGCCAGCAGCCGCGGUAAUACGGAGGAUGCGAGCGUUAUCCGGAUUUACUGGGUGUAAAGGGAGCGUAGGUGGCAUGGUAAGCCAGAAGUGAAAACCCGGGGCUCAACCCCGCGGAUUGCUUUUGGAACUAUCA
rnacentral:rRNA from 1 species